GGGUGUUGGAAAGAUUUAUCGGUUUUGGAUGGACUCGCGGCCUAUCAGCUUGUUGGUGAGGUAAUGGCUCACCAAGGCGACGACGGGUAGCCGGCCUGAGAGGGUGACCGGCCACACUGGGACUGAGACACGGCCCAGACUCCUACGGGAGGCAGCAGUGGGGAAUAUUGCACAAUGGGCGCAAGCCUGAUGCAGCGACGCCGCGUGAGGGAUGACGGCCUUCGGGUUGUAAACCUCUUUCAGUAGGGAAGAAGCGAAAGUGACGGUACCUGCAGAAGAAGCACCGGCUAACUACGUGCCAGCAGCCGCGGUAAUACGUAGGGUGCGAGCGUUAUCCGGAAUUAUUGGGCGUAAAGAGCUCGUAGGCGGUUUGUCGCGUCUGUCGUGAAA
rnacentral:rRNA from 1 species